rnacentral:lncRNA from 1 species
UGACUCCUUGGCGGGCCGGCUGGAAAAGUUUGAAAGUUGGAACCGGCCUGGGCCUAAAAAUGGGAAAUUUUUCCUGCAUUUCUCACGUUCAGCCUACUUAUUUUGCUCCGUUCCCUCCUGUUGCCAAGUCUCCUUUGGUCUUCUUUGUCUUGCUCAAGAGCCUGGUACUGAGGUGGAACUUUGCAAGUGUCUUAACAAGAUCUAAUAAGCUUGGAAACUGAAAGGGGAAAUGAGGAUAUUCCCUUCUGGCUGUAAUCAUGGUGUGAGGGAGGUGGAGACUCUACAAAGGAAGGCUCCUCAGCCUGGAGGUUUGCAGGUUUCUCCCUCAAAAGAUCCUGCUCCAUAGUACUGAGAAAACACAGUGGCCGUUGUGUGGGAGACCACCACAGCUGCCUCAAGGGAAGCCAACACAGUCAUAGUUCCUGAGCUCAUUGGGAUCGGAUGUUUACAGAAGUCUCCCACAGAAGAUGAACUUACCACCAAGACCCUGCAAGACUGAAGCAGUGCUUGGAGUCGGAGAGGAGAGAGUCAGACAAUGUGCACAUUUAUUUCUUUGGAUUAAAGAGGAAGUGGAGAGUUUCUAUUUGGGAUGAUGAUAAAGUUUUGGAAAUGGUAGCCAUGAAUGUUGCACAGUAUUGUUGAAGCUGGAAAUUACCUAUGGAAGCUGAGUCACCUACCUCGCUCCUGGAGCCCGCUGGCUGUUUCCAAGGCCUUCUUCAUUAUUCAAACCACGACUCCAUCACAGGAAUACCCAAAGCAACAUUUGAUAGUUGUGGAAGAUUUUUACCCUCACAAGUCAUGAAUACUUUCUGUUUAUCGCUUACACUGAGGAUUUAUGACUAUCUAAGUGUUGUAUUUCCGAAGGGAAGCAUCCUAUCCUCAGACUCCCGGCUGUCACCGUCCUGACCUGCCACCUGUGUCACAUCCCAUCAAGUGCUGUGGAUGAGCCAGGUACCAGUAAACCAGCCCCCGAGGCUGGAGAAAUGUUGGAUGUAGAUGCUCACAGAAUCAUUCAUCAAAUCUUGGAAGCUUCGGAGAGAAGUGCGUAAAAUGAAAAUUUAGUUCCAGAGAAAUAGAGCCUCAAUUUAAUACCAUCUACCAAAGCACUGCCACGUCUGUCAUCUUGGGAUGAGGUCAGAGAUCCUAAAUCAAGAGAGGAUGAAGGCUCUCCUGGCGGGGGUGGCCCCAGGGUCUGGAGCAUGCCCAGGUGA